GGCAGAUUAUUGCAAAAAGGGCACGGGGCAGAGGGACUAUGUUGUGAGCCUGCGAAAGAAGUUUGUGUGGGGACUGUGGGCAGUGAAUGCGUUGGGAACAAUAUGGAAAACUGGGAGCUGCCUUGGAAUCUACAGGGCCGGGUAAGAGAAUGUCCGAAAGAAAAAUGAGCAGGUGCGGGAUGUGCGCAGAGUCGGAGAAGAGUCCAGGGCGCCCGGAGUGGCUCCAGGAACGACGGAAACCCCUCAAGGCUUUUGGGGGCGGACCCACUCGAGCCAUCCACACUUUCCCCAGCCUCCUCCAAAACAGCACACUUUCCGGCUGAAGAAAAGAAGAAUGGUAUUCAUGCAGUUCCCAUUUUACAGAUGAAAACAAGAGGACUUUUUCUGUGAAGUCAAGAAAGUGGUUACAAUGGUACUUUCAGCCUGUCCGAAUUAUGUAUUGCCCCUCCCCUUUUUAUUAAUAACAUUGAAGUGUGAUGGGACAACCACUGAAGCCGUCUGUUGAAACCUGCUGGGACUUUUUAGCCAUUCUCUUCAACAUAAAGAAUGGGUGUUUUUGGAGGGGGUGAGAGGAAUGGGGAAAUGUUGUCAAAGAGUACAAUGUUUUAGUUGAGACAGGAGGAAUAUAUUUUGUUGAGAUCUACAGCACAGCAUGGUGACUGUAGUUAACAAUGAAGUAUUGUGUAUUUCAAAAUUGCUAAGACAAUAAAUUUCAAAUGUUCUCACCACAAAAAA
rnacentral:lncRNA from 1 species